rnacentral:rRNA from 1 species
CGGUUAAAUCUGUAUGCUCAACAUACAGGCUGCCGGGAAUACUGCAGAGCUAGGGAGUGGGAGAGGUAGACGGUACUCGGUAGGAAGGGGUAAAAUCCUUUGAUCUAUUGAUGACCACCUGUGGCGAAGGCGGUCUACCAGAACACGUCCGACGGUGAGGGAUGAAAGCUGGGGGAGCAAACCGGAUUAGAUACCCGGGUAGUCCCAGCUGUAAACUAUGCAAAUCAGUGAUGCAUUGGCUUGUGGCCAAUGCAA